GACGAACGCUGGCGGCGCGCCUAACACAUGCAAGUCGAACGAGCGAGAGAGAGCUUGCUUUCUCAAGCGAGUGGCGAACGGGUGAGUAACGCGUGAGGAACCUGCCUCAAAGAGGGGGACAACAGUUGGAAACGACUGCUAAUACCGCAUAAGCCCACGGAACCGCAUGGUUCUGGGGGAAAAGGAGCAAUUCGCUUUGGGAUGGACUCGCGUCCGAUUAGCUGGAUGGUGAGGUAACGGCCCACCAUGGCAACGAUCAGUAGCCGGUCUGAGAGGAUGAACGGCCACAUUGGGACUGAGAUACGGCCCAG
rnacentral:rRNA from 1 species